rnacentral:rRNA from 1 species
AGCUCCAAUAGCGUAUAUUAAAGUUGCUGCGGUUAAAAAGCUCGUAGUUGGAUCUCAGUCUCGGUGUGACGGUCCACUUUUGCGGUGGUACUGUUAUUCAUCGGACAGUUUGCCGUAUUUCUUUCGUGAUGCUCUUAAUUGAGUGUGACGUGAGGACGGCGUGUUUACUUUGAAAAAAUUAGAGUGCUCAAAGCAGGCAGUGUUGCCUGAAUCUUCGUGCAUGGAAUGAUGGAAUAGGGCCUCGGUUCUAUUUUGUUGGUUUCCGGAACUCGAGGUAAUGAUUAAGAGAGACGGACGGGGGCAUUCGUAUUGCGACGUUAGAGGUGAAAUUCUUAGAUCGUCGCAAGACGAACUACUGCGAAAGCAUUUGCCAAGAAUGUUUUCAUUAAUCAAGAACGAA